rnacentral:misc_RNA from 1 species
GCCUUAUAUACAUGCCGCCAGUUUGAGCCUGUUUCAGUUAAUCUUGUCCAAAGUGCAUUCAUUAUCAUGCGGCAAUCAGUAAUUUUGUUAGUAGCCUGAGCAAGCUCUGACAAAUCAGAUCCAUGAGGUCCCCAUGGUUCACUGCUGGUAGCAUCAAGAACCUUUUGCUCGAUCUCUGGAACCUUGAGGACUUUCAGAUUCACCUCCCUCUUUAUCUCCCGGACCGUUUGAUCGAGAACCUUCAUGAAAUCCAUCGCUGGGGAUAUCAAGAUCUGCGGGUUAACGGAGCGGGAGCGAGGGGAUUGAUUCAGA